GAGGGGGGAGGGGAAAGAGAAAGAGUCCGGCCGCCGCUCCUCCACGAAGCCCCUCUCCGCCCGGCCCGGCCCUUUCCUCACUCACCGGCUUGAUCAGAGUCCGUGGCGUCCGUGGCGCUUCGGUCGCAGACAAAGAAAAAGCUAAACAGUACAGCUCCUAUGAAGUUUCCAGAUACAUACAAGUUUAAAGUGAUGGACGGCAUAUGAUCGACUUUUUUCAGUCAGAAAUGUCUGGAUUAUGGGUUUGAACCCAGGGAGUUCAUAAUUCCAAGAAGCAAGAAACUAGUGAUGUGGGUUUACUUGUAACAAAGCUAAAAAUGUACACUGUUUUUUUUUUUGUCCCAAUGCACCACAAUUUUUUGACCUGAAAUAUUUGGGGGAGGAAAUUAAAGUGUGCUAAAUGUGAUUUAAAAGUUAUAUUAUCUAGAACAUUUUAUUGGAAUACUUGUAAAAAUUAAAACAAUUGCAUAUACUUUCCUUGCAUUGUUUAAAUUUAAGGAGGACCCCCCCCCCCAAAAAAAGUACUAAAAACCAAUACAUUUCAGCAACCCAAAGAUAUGCAUAAUAUGUGAACAACUAUUUUCUAUUUCUACAGACUUCAACUGCCUUCCACUGAGGUUGUUGGGGCAACUUCAGUUUAGCUGACCCUACCUAUGUAUUAGUUCUGUUUCACACUGAAGCAUAUUUCAGUGACAUUUAUAUAUGUAUGUAUAUAUACUCUCUCACAUAGAUGCUACAGAUAAGCACCUGAAAAACAUUAAUUAUAAAUUUGAAACUGCAAAA